CUUUUUCCCCUGGAAAAUGAUGAGAGAACAAACACGUGACAGAUGUGUAGUCUUGUUGCUUAAUUCACUACUGGAAAGCGCUCAGAUGCUAUAGUGAUGAGUGCAGUAUAAAACCUGUAUAAUAG